GACGUAGGGCGCGAGCGUUGUCCGGAUUUAUUGGGCGUAAAGAGCUCGUAGGCGGCUUGUCGCGUCGUCCGUGAAAACCUGCAGCUCAACUGCAGGCUUGCGGUCGAUACGGGCAGGCUAGAGUUCGGUAGGGGAGACUGGAAUUCCUGGUGUAGCGGUGAAAUGCGCAGAUAUCAGGAGGAACACCGGUGGCGAAGGCGGCAUCCUGGACCGAGAUUGACGCUGAUGCGCGAAAGCCAGGGGAGCAAACGGG
rnacentral:rRNA from 1 species